ensembl:lncRNA
GUCGUGGACUGAAUUCUAUCCCCCCAAAUUCAUAUAAUGAAGUCCUAAUGCCCCCCAGGAAAAGGACCUUUAAGGGGAAAAUUAAGGUUGAAUGAGGUCAUAAGGGUGGGGCCCUAAUCCAGUAAGAGGAAGAGAUGCCAGGAGUUGCGUGUGCACAGAGGAAAGGCCACGUGAGGACACAGAGGGAAGGUGGCUGUCUGCAAAUCCAGGAGAGAGGCCUCACGAGAAAGCCAUCUUGUUAGCAUCUUGAUCUUGGACUUCCGGCCUCCAGAACUAUCACUUCCUUUGAGGGACGCCAGCCACCAUGUUGAGCAGUCCUAUGAAUAGGCCGUUCGAUGAGGAACUAAGGCCUCAAGUCAAUAGCCAUAUGAGGGCGCCAUCUUAGAAGUGGACCCUCCAGCCCCAGUGAAGCUUUCAGGUGACUGCAGCCCUUGCCAACCUCUUGACUGCAACCUCACGAGAGACUCUGGGCCAGAAACAUCCAACUAAGCAGCUCUCAAAUUCCUGAGCAUUAUUCACAAUAGCCAAGACUUGGAAGCAACCUAGGUGCCCAUCAAGGGACGAAUGGAUAAAGAAGAUGUAGUGUAUAUAUACCCGAUGGAAUACUACUCAGCCAUAAGAAAUGAUGAAAUCUGUCCACUUGUGACAACAUGAAUGGACCUUGAGGGCAUUAUGGAGAAGACAAGCUGAAAGAUGGAAGGGUGUGAAGCAGAGCGCGGCUGAACAUAAGGACAGAAAGCGCCUAGAACCUUGCAGACACAACUGAGCGGCUGCAUCAAACCUGGCUUGCCUCCUUCCAAGCUUCUCCUUAGGUGUUUUUGGACAUUUCUCCAAGAGUGGCCAGAAGACCAUUGCAUCAGAUGAGCACCUGGAGUCUUGUGAAAAACACAAAUUCCAUAGACAUCCUGAAUUUUAAUCUGCAGGGGUGGCGUUGGAGGGGAUGAGAAGAGAAGCCUAGGAUUCUGCAUUUUAAAGGGGCUUCUCAGGGGAUGGUUGACUGGAAUAUGCUUUGUGGAAUUAUUUUAAGAAGUAACUAAUACGAGAUCGGAAAGCACCUUUUCCUCUUAGCCAAAAUUGUGCACAAGAGAAUCUCCACCAUCUGGGCCAGUUCAAUGAAAGAAGUGAAUUUUCCUUUUUUUCUCUUUCCUUCCUCCUUUCUAUAAAGUUCAUUCACUUAGUAAAUGUUUACUGAGAAUUCAUUAUAUGCUAGAAGCUGUGAAGACUUCUGGGACAGCAAACAAGACAUAGUUACUCCCCGCUAUGAUUGGAAAAGCUAGAGCAUUAAGGGUCUGAAAAGAGAAGUUGAAGGAUCAGAGAAAAGUCACUAGCCCUCCUGUAGUGCUGGCACAGGUGGGCCAGAUGGAGCUUGCAAAGUCUUCCGGGAAGCCAGGCACUUCAGCUGUCAGAGUGGAACCGUCCAGCCUGGAGACUCUGUUGGUCAGCAGGGCCUGCACUUGAGAGAAGAGCUGGGUGUAAAGCAGGGGAGAGCAAGGACAUACGGAACCUGCCACCAGUAUGGCGGAGAGUGGGGACAAGCUGGGAUAUGCCAGCCUCUCUGCGUGCUUCUCCCAGAGCAUGCUGCUUUAAGUCCUAGUACCAAAUAGGGAGAGAAUCUACCUACCAAAUCUCAUGCCAGCUUCUUUUUUUUCCAACUCUAACAUGAAUCAUGCAAGAAAGGGGAUUCUGGGAACAGUAGUUCCAACUAGUCCAAAUUAACACCAUACAUAUGAGGAGCUGGCUAAAAAAGUGAUGAAAGUUCGCCAGGAGGCCAACACACAAUUGAAAGUGGAAAAAUCAAUGUUAAGAUUGUGAGCAAAAGUGCUUGUUU